rnacentral:siRNA from 1 species
AGGCAUUGUGAGUGGGCCUUGGA